rnacentral:misc_RNA from 1 species
GGGGGAGAGUAAGAGAGGGGAGAUUUGGCGGGGUUUGGAGAAUUGUUUUGUUUUGUACUAAUGGACACUUGACUCAUUUAAUUGGUUUGAAGCUGGACGAUUCCCUUCUGGACUUUAGAGUUUAGACUGCCUUUACAUCUAGCUAGGACUGGAUAUUGUCCUGGCACUCUAUACUGGGAAGAUUGGCAUCACUCUGUUUGUGCAUAGAUUUUAGCUAUCUAUCAGGUUUUUUUGGUAGUAAAGUCUUCUAGUUUGCAGGUCUGUGUAGAUUAUAAGGGUCUUGGUGAAACGAUGUUUUACGGCAUGUUGUGAUACCAGUCCAAUAUUUUGCAGUUGAUCUUAUGAAGCCUGGCAC